UGCAACAGCGCGCAGAUGUGUCA
rnacentral:misc_RNA from 1 species